GGACCGGUAGCUCAGUUUGGUGGAGCACCUGGGGAGGGGAGUGCAAACAAAUCAUAAUCAUGAACCUCUUGGUGAAACUUUUACCAAGCUUUGGAAGAUAUCAGGUGGUCGCGGGUUCAAAUCCCGUCCGGUCCA
rnacentral:tRNA from 1 species